rnacentral:rRNA from 1 species
AGAGUUUGAUCAUGGCUCAGAACGAACGCUGGCGGCGUGCUUAACACAUGCAAGUCGAACGCGAAAGUUUUCUUCGGAAGACGAGUAGGGUGGCGCACGGGUGAGUAGCGCGUAAGUAAUCUACCCCGGCAUCUGGAAUAACUCACCGAAAGGUGUGCUAAUACCGCAUACGUCCUGAGGGAGAAAGCGGGGGAUCGCAAGACCUCGCGCGAUUGGAGUGGCCGAUAUCUGAUUAGCUAGAUGGUGAGGUAAAGGCUCACCAUGGCGACGAUCAGUAGCUGGUCUGAGAGGAUGAUCMGCCACACUGGGACUGAGACACGGCCCAGACUCCUACGGGAGGCAGCAGUGGGGAAUWUUGGACAAUGGGCGMAAGCCUGAUCCAGCMAUKCCGCGUGRGUGAAGAAGGYCUUCGGRUUGUAAAGCYCUUUCGGCAGGAACGAAACGGUGGGAUCUAAUACAUUCSACURAUGACGGUACCYGWAGAAGAAGCMCCGGCUAACUWCGUGCCAGCAGCCGCGGUAAUA